rnacentral:lncRNA from 1 species
AAACAUUCCAGACAAAAAAUAACAUGGAAGGGACAUUGACCAGAAUUGACACGACAUUUGGGGAAUCGCAGCCAGUUAAACAGGAGAAUAUGGACUGGGGAAUAUGAGAGAAGAACUAAUGGAAGGAUUUGGGGAGGCUGGUAAUAUUGGCAGCAGAGUUUGGGUAGAGGGAAGACAGGAGAUUCCAUCCCUAAUCAAGGCAAGGGAUGAUGGGAGUCUGAAUUAAGCAGUAGUAGAAUGAGAGGGCCUGUAUUUCACCAAUUACAAGGUGUACUUCCCCCCCCCCCCCCCCCACAUUUUGGUGUCUGUCAAACUUGGACACUUCUAAAAGUCAAUGGCAUGUCACAGUUUAAGUGGCAUUUUUUCUUUCUUAGAGCUACAUAAAAGAAUCAUAACAAGCUGGGCGCAGUGGCUCACGCCUGUAAUCCCAGCACUUUGGGCGGCUGAGGCGGGCGGAUCACGAGGUCAGGAGAUUGAGACCAUUCUGGCUAACAUAGUGAAAUCCUGUCUCUACUAAAAAUACAAAAAAUUAGCCGGGACUACAGAUAUACACCAACAUGUCCAGCUAAUUAAACAUUUUUUUUUUUGUAGAGAUGAAGACUCACCAUGUUGCCCAGGCUAGUCCCAAAUUCCUGGCCUCAAGCAGAAUAAGAUGUUUAUAUGAGAUACUAUUGGAGUAGUUCACUUGAGCAUUUAGUGAUAGGUAUGUAGAGGAUGUAUAUCAAGGUAUAGAGAAGUAACUUAUUUAAGGUCAUACAACCUAUAAACAAUUGAGCUCAUAUCUCUGGCAUUAAAGCCUGGAUAUAGAACCCCCAUCAGAAGAUAGGGUUCAUUUGUUCCUUUAAGGAGCUGGAGCUUGGGAGGAAGGAGCUACAAUGUGCCUGGAAAAAUUUCAUUUCUGUAGUCUUAAACAGCAUUUGAUUCAGUGGAGCAGUCUGUACUUGAAAGCUUUUUUCUUCAUUUUGAUUUGUAAUAUUAUCAUCUACUGCUUUUCUCUACUUCACUGACUGUACCUUUUCUGUGUCCUGCUCCUCCUCUUCCUGACAUCUACAUUCUGAGGCCAAGUCUAUGGCCCCCUCCUCUUUAUCUCUGCUAAGUGGUCUAAUCCAUUCCCCAGGCUUUAAAUGCUGUCCACGCGCUGCUGACUCGCAUACAUAUCUCCAGCCCUCAUCAGUCCCCAAGUUUCAUGCACACUUGUUUGUCCAACAGCCUUAUUUGAUAUCUCUACUUGACUUGUAGUCAUUACAAAUUUAACGUGUCCAAAUCUAAACUCUUGAGUUCAUCCCCAAAACCUGUUUCACCACCAGGCCUCUCUCUUUCCAUCAGCACCUGUCUCACACUGUUGUGGCAGCCACAACAAGAAUGACCUAAGUCAUUCUUGAUUUCUCUUGUUCUCCCCAUACCAGUCAGCAAGUCCCAGCUCUGCCUUCAAAAUGUAUCCCAAAUGUGACUGCUUCUCUUCACCUCACCCCUUUCCCCCUUAGUCCAAGCCACCAACAUGUUCAGCCUGGACAAUGCAGUGAUCUCCUAACUUGCCUCCCUGCUUCCACAGAGGCUGUCAGCAGCAUCUUUUAAAACUACAAGGCCAGGCACGGUGGCUCAUGCCUGUAAUCCCAGCACUUUGGGAGGGUGAAGCGGGCGGAUCACGAGGUCAGGAGAUCGAGACCAUCCUGGCUAACACGGUGAAACCCCGUCUCUACU